rnacentral:rRNA from 1 species
GAUGAACGCUGGCGGCGUGCCUAAUACAUGCAAGUCGAGCGAACGGACGAGAAGCUUGCUUUUCUGAUGUUAGCGGCGGACGGGUGAGUAACACGUGGAUAACCUACCUAUAAGACUGGGAUAACUUCGGGAAACCGGAGCUAAUACCGGAUAAUAUUUUGAACCGCAUGGUUCAAAAGUGAAAGACGGUCUUGCUGUCACUUAGAGAUGGAUCCGCGCUGCAUUAGCUAGUUGGUAAGGUAACGGCUUACCAAGGCAACGAUGCAUAGCCGACCUGAGAGGGUGAUCGGCCACACUGGAACUGAGACACGGUCCAGACUCCUACGGGAGGCAGCAGUAGGGAAUCUUCCGCAAUGGGCGAAAGCCUGACCGAGCGAUGCCGCGUGAGUGAUGAAGGUCUUCGGAUCGUAAAGCUCUGUUAGUAGGGAAGAACGGAUGUGUAAGUAUCCGUGCCCAUCUUGACGGUACCUAAACAGAAAGCACCGGCUAACUACGUG